AUGGCGUCACGCUUGUUGAGAAGAGGUGUCGAUCAUCUGAAGAGUAAAGAAUUUAGGGAGUAUUUAUGCAGCACGCAUUUUUGGGGACCUGUUGCAAAUUGGGGAAUUCCACUUGCUGCAAUUGCGGAUUUCAAAAAAGAUCCAACAUUUAUUAGCGGAAAGAUGACUUUAGCAUUAUGUAUAUAUUCAUUACUUUUUAUGAGAUUUGCUUGGAAAGUACAGCCUCGAAAUCUGUUAUUAUUUGCCUGUCAUUUUACAAAUGAAUCUGCACAAAUUAUUCAAGGCACAAGACUGAUAAAACAUGAAUUCUCAUCUGAUAAACAGAAAGUACAACUUCAAAAUUAAUUAAAUUAUUAAGUUAGAUGAUGAUGAUUUGUUUAGUUAAAUUAAUUUAGAUGAUUCGUGUUUGAUUGAUAUUGAGAAAUCAAUCAUAAAGUUAUCAAUAAUUAUUAGGUUUUCAAUAACUCCACAUUUGAAAAUUAAAGAAAGCAAAUUGAAUCUGAAACAGAAUGAGACUUAGGUAUAAAGUGAUGGGACAUAAAGAAAUUUUGUACUGGAUAAGUUAUGAGUAAAAAUACUGCAAGAAAGUUAUUAACGUAUUGAAUCAAGACUAUCGGCAGCAAUAAGUAAACUAUCAUCUACCGGAAACUCAGCUUUAAUGAAAUAUUUUUUGGACAGUAUCAGGAAAAUCUUUUUCUUUGUCUGGUGUAAGUAUUUUUCACAAAAAUAUUAACUAUUAUUAAACAGUAAAAUAUUAUAAUUUUCUGGCAACAUUUGUGUGUAACUCUCAGAUCUGUGAACUAACAGAUUAUUGGAUUUUUCAAGAUUCAUUAUCUUACAUAGAUAUUAAAUGAAAUCCAUAAAAAAUUUGUAUGUAAGAUAAUUUGUAUUACAACAUUUAAUAUUAAUUAAAUUAUUAAUUUUCAGUAAUAAUAAAUUAUAUUGACUUUGAACUACAUGAUACUAGAUAGAGAUCAGAACAAAGGCAGAAAAUACACAGGGUGUCCAGAAAGGAUGAGUGCAGUUUAAACAUGUUCAAAGAAAGUUUUGUUUUUAUUUUUAAUCUACAGUUAUUGGAAAAUUAUUUACUGAAAAUUAUGUUAUCUAAGUGGCGUCCAUUACGCUCCUGGCACUCUUCUAAUCUUGAGCAAAGAUUUCUCGGUACACGUUGACACAAAGCCUGAGAUGCCUAUGCUCAUUUCUGCUGUGAUAUUCUGCUUUAAUUGAGUUAAUGUCCUCGGCUUAUUUUCGUACAUCCUCUCUCUAAGAAAUCCCCAUAAGAAAUAGUCCAGAGGACUCAGGUCUGGACUGCGUGAUGGCCAGUUAACAUCACCUCUUCCCGAAAUCAGCUUAUUGGGGAAUAAUUCCUUUACUGCUUCAAUUGAUUCAUGGCUUCAAUACAAGAACAUGGUUUCAACAGGAUGGCAUCACUUGUGACACAUGAAAUGAAUCAAUUAUUCAACUGUCAGCAUUAAAUCCAAAACUACAAUUAUAGGUUUAAUUUUUUUUCAUUCUCUUUCUAAUGACAUAAAAUACUCCUAGAAUUACAAAAAUUCUUUUUUAAUGUGUAUUUUAUUAUUGUUUGAUUCAAAAACGCAAAAAUAAACAUAUUAAAUUUAAGAAACUCGCUGUAAAUUAUCUCAAGGUACUGUACAGUACAUCGAUUAAGAUCGGCAUCUCUUCUUGAUUUUUAAGUCAGUCAAAUUACAAUGUUAUUUUAUUGUACUCUGAAGAAUGUUUUUUUUUUAACAUCUAACAAAACUAGUUGUUAAUUAAAUCUGAUUAAUUUUAUAUUUUAGUUCAGUUUAAUCGGCAUGCCAGUAACCCCAGAGUGUCUAGCGUGCUGAUCUGUCCCGUUUUUAUGCAGCAUGCCGAUCAUUCUGUGAAAAUACGGUAUUCUUCAUUAAAUAAUAGGUGGCAGAUAUUAAAAAGCAUCUCCUUUCGAUGCCAAAACCUCUCAGAAACACUGGGAUUGUAGAUUAGAUACCGUAAAAGUGAUUCGUUUGCCGGUUAGCUGGAGUUAGUAAAGCUUGAAGAGGAAGUUUCUACAAUAGAGUCCCAAAUUCGAGGUUUUCCUAAAUCCAGUCCGUUAAAUUAACAUUUAUUUAUUAUUAUUAUUUUUUUAAAUCGCAGAAUCUCUUAAUUAAAUUUAAUUAAAAGUGUUUUGCUAAAGCCGUUUGCAUAUUUAUUCGAUUUAGAUGGUAUACAGUCGACCCCCCUAUAACGCGGGUUCAUAUAAUGCGGAUUCGUAUAUCGCGGCGAAAAAAUUGCGACCGUAUUCGUAUAAAGGCGGUAAAAGA
rnacentral:misc_RNA from 1 species